CCUACGGGAGGCAGCAGUGAGGAAUAUUGGUCAAUGGACGCAAGUCUGAACCAGCCAUGCCGCGUGCAGGAAGACGGCUCUAUGAGUUGUAAACUGCUUUUGUACGAGGGAAAACGCAGUUACGUGUAUCUGUCUGAAAGUAUCGUACGAACAAGGAUCGGCCAACUCCGUGCCAGCAGCCGCGGUAAUACGGAGGAUUCAAGCGUUAUCCGGAUUUGUUGGGCUUAAGGGGUGCGUAGGCUGUCUGAUAAGUCAGAGGUGAAAUCCCGAGGCUCAACUUCGGAAUUGCCUCUGAUACUGUUCGGCUAGAGAGUAUUUGCGGUAGGCGGAAUGUAUGGUGUAGCAGUGAAAUGCUUAGAGAUC
rnacentral:rRNA from 1 species